rnacentral:rRNA from 1 species
CUUGAACGCUGGCGGCAGGCCUAACACAUGCAAGUCGAACGAGUGGCGGACGGGUGAGUAAUGUCUGGGAAACUGCCUGAUGGAGGGGGAUAACUACUGGAAACGGUAGCUAAUACCGCAUACCAUCGGAUGUGCCCAGAUGGGAUUAGCUAGUAGGUGGGGUAAAGGCUCACCUAGGCGACGAUCCCUAGCUGGUAUGAGAGGAUGACCAGCCACACUGGAACUGAGACACGGUCCAGACUCCUACGGGAGGCAGCAGUGGGGAAUAUUGCACAAUGGGCGCAAGCCUGAUGCAGCCAUGCCGCGUGUAAGGAGAAGGCCUGAGGGUUUUAAAGUACUUUCAGUGGGGAGGCGUUGCCCUCAGAAGAAGCACCGGCGAAGUCCGUGCCAGCAGCCGCGGUAAUUC